GGGUACAGUGCUAGCAGAAUUAUCUAGAGCCUCCAAAAAAGAAGAAACAAAACUUCAGAACUACGAAGACGCUCAGGCCAAAAGACUUGCCCAAAGCGGUAAAACGGUGGAGCAGAGUUUCACAUCCGGAUGACUAAAAGGCACUUGGAUACUUGCCCAGAGGUCUGGCUUGCUCUCGGAAGCUGGAAUCACUUGGCUGUUGGAUUGCCGAG